GACGGAGGGUGCUAGCGUUGUUCGGAAUCACUGGGCGUAAAGGGCGCGUAGGCGGCGUCGCAAGUCGGCUUGUGAAAGCCCGGGGCUCAACCCCGGAGGUGCAGCCGAGACUGCGGUGCUCGAGGCCGGAAGAGGAGGGUGGAAUACCCAGUGUAGAGGUGAAAUUCGUAGAUAUUGGGUGGAACACCGGUGGCGAAAGCGGCUCUCUGGUCCGGUUCUGACGCUGAGGCGCGAAAGCGUGGGGAGCAAACAGG
rnacentral:rRNA from 1 species